rfam:Streptococcus sp. FF10 genome assembly, contig: CONTIG000002
GUAACCUUUAACUGAGUCCCGUGAGGCUAGCAAGGUGGACGGUUUGCGAAUCGUUAUCAAGUGAGAAGUAAAGUGGGAGACUCUGUCUCUCAAAAGAUUUGAGUUUGUUUGACUCUGCUCUUUUCAUGAACCUUGCCCUCGGGUGAGGUUCUUUUUUGU